rnacentral:sRNA from 1 species
GAUGGAUUGGAUGAUAUGCCGUGCUUUUCAGAGAUAGCGUCACCAUGUGAUCAAGUCUCUGUUGGGCACGGCUUUUUUCCUUGAAACAAGCUUUAAGUGAUGGUUAACAGAUAUUUUAAUCGUCUGAAAAGGCGAACAUUUCUAGGAGGUUUUUUCCAUGCAACAAGGUACUGUAAAAUGGUUUAACGCAGAAAAAGGUUUUGGCUUCAUUCAAGUUGAAGGCGGAGAAGAUGUAUUCGUACACUACAGCGCUAUCCAAACUGAAGGUUUCAAAACUCUUGAAGAAGGUCAAAAAGUUGAGUUUGAAAUCGUUCAAGGUAGCCGUGGACCACAAGCUGCUAACGUUAAUCGUCUGUAAGAUCAAAUACGUAUAAAAAGAAGCAGUCUCUCUUUUGAGGGGCUGUUUUUU